UGGUAUUGUAUUGGACUACCAUGGCACUAACGGGUAACGAACAAUUUGGGUUCAAUUUCGGAGAGGGACCCUGAAAGAUGGCUACCACAUCCAAGGAACGCAGCAGGCGCGUAAAUUACCCAAUCCUGACAUAAGGAGGUAGUGACAAUAAAUCACAAUGCGAAACUAUUAAUUUUGCAAUUGGAUUGAUAACAAUGUACAAAUGUUAUCGAUAAACAAUUGGAGAGCAAGUCUGGUGCCACCAGCCGCGGUAAUUCCACCUCCAAUAUCGUAUAUUAACGUUGUUGCAUAAAAAAAGCUCCAGUAA
rnacentral:rRNA from 1 species